rnacentral:tRNA from 1 species
GCCUGGGUGGCUCAGUCGGUUGAGCAUCCGACUUCGACUCAGGUCAUGAUCUCACGGUUCGUGAGUUCGAGCCCCACAUCGGGCU